rnacentral:rRNA from 1 species
UGGGGAAUAUUGCACAAUGGGCGCAAGCCUGAUGCAGCCAUGCCGCGUGUAUGAAGAAGGCCUUCGGGUUGUAAAGUACUUUCAGCGGGGAGGAAGGUGUUGAGGUAAUAACCUCAGCAAUUGACGUUUACCCGCAGAAGAAGCACCGGCUAACUCCGUGCCAGCAGCCGCGGUAAUACGGAGGGUGCAAGCGUUAAUCGGAAUUACUGGGCGUAAAGCGCACGCAAGGCGGUCUGUCAAGUCGGAUGUGAAAUCCCCGGGCUCAACCUGGGAACUGCAUUCGAAACUGGCAGGCUGGAGUCUUGUAGAGGG